rnacentral:lncRNA from 1 species
GGUGUGGUGCGGGUUUCCACCUGCUGAUCACCCCCUCGGAGCUGUAGGGGCACAGGCACGGGGCUCCAUGUGCUUUGUAACAAAGUCAGAGGCCAGGUAGCUGGAGUCUGGUAGUGUGAUGGGGUUGGUGUAGGGCACGUUGAAUGCACGGCAUCAUCAAGCAGGUUUUUAUAUAUUGAAAUCUUUGCUUGUGUGGCGUAGGUUUCCAGGUGGGGGGCCGUGUGUGUUUGGGCGAACAUGGAUAUGAGGUGGGUUAGGCGCGUGUCCGUAAAGGGGGCAUGAGUAAUGGGCGUGAGUAGGUGUGUAGCUGCGCAUGUGAUGGCCGGUGUUAGGAGUGGUAUUUCAGCUGUGUGUUUGAUACUGGCAAUAAGCAGGAGUAUGGUUAGUAGGUUUCGCGUGAAGGUAACGGGCCUCUUGGCUAGGGCGCGGCAUGUGAUGUAUAGUGGGA